CCCCACCCAUGUGUGCCACGGUGUUUCUCGCCACACUAUGUACCGUGCAGAGCGCGUCUUUUGCCGCCGACACGCCAUGACAAGCCCCGCUGUGGAAAGCAUGCCCCAUCGCAUAUUAGCCCGAACUUGGGAGCAAAAUGGAGCAGCCUCACACGCCAGUAUCUAAUCCAGCCCCACGCGCGCCUGCAAAUCCCCUAGAGUCGCCACGAUUUGUCGUUGGAGUUGUUCCCCCGCGGCACCCCCUCUCGUCUGCCUAUAAAAGGCACCCCGAGCAAUCGUGAAACCACCACACUCACCACACCUCACUACAGACCCGCCAAGACCAUUAGAGGGGCUCGGGAGGGCCUUCUUCCCCGCCUUUGGCCGCCCCGGCUUGUUUCCGGCUUCGGCUAAAUUAGCCCAUGUGGAGGCACCCCCGCAGCUUAGAUUUGGCCAGCGAGCUCCUCGAUCACCAGCCCUUCUAACCCGCGCGCGAAUUCGGUGAGUGCAGGCCUCUCCAUCGAGAUCCCACUGCACCCGAAACACCGCCCGCUGGAGUUUGGAGUUGUCGUUGACGUGGUACCCGCUGGCAUGUGACUCCACCUCCAUCAUCUGCAGAACCUCCUGGUGACUGCACCCGCAUGCUCUUUCCCCUCUGUUUCGCUACAGGACGCCGUCGGCGACAUCGCGAGCCUCUGCCACUCGCGAGAUAUGGAUGAAGGAGACCUCAUGGAUGAAGAGUACGGUAGAGAGUCUGGCGCCUAGAGGUGUAUGAGUCAGUCGUGCGAUCAUGGAGUCCGUCAUUGUAUUAUUUCACUGUCGUGCGAUCAUGGAGUCCGUCAUUGUAUUAUUUCACUGCUUCCGCCACCACAAAUAAAUCAUCAAGCCUCACUCUCGCGCUUGGCGUGUAGUAGUACUUAUGGCAUGUCACGUCACUCUAAUGUGCCAUGCCCACCUUAUGCGAGGAGUAGAGUUAUCCCAUGACCACUGUAAUAUAUCUGUCCUUAUGAUAGUGUGGGAGUGUUGUAAUAAACUGUAGGGCGACCUCCGCUCUACCCUGUUUAAUAUUAAGUACUACUCAUUUCUGUAUCAA